GCUGGGUGUGGUGGCUCACUCCUGUAAUUCCAGCACUUUGGGAGGCUGAGGCAGGUGGAUCAUCUGAGGUCAGGAGUUCAAGACCAGCCUGACCAAUAUGGUGAGACCCUGUCUCUA
ensembl:misc_RNA Metazoa_SRP Metazoan signal recognition particle RNA